rnacentral:lncRNA from 1 species
GAGAAAAGUAUAGUUACUACAAUUUGUGUUUUUGUGAGUUUGAGUUAUAAUGCACGCUUUAGCUAAUAAUCUAGUUUGUAGCAUAGAGUUCAUGACUCAUUGCGGCCAUUUGUCUGGAGAUUGUUAAUGGUCCUUUAAUUCCUCCAAUUUAAUAUUCAUUCAUCUGCCACUUGUUCUUUGUGUGCAUAUUUUAAUCCCC